rnacentral:rRNA from 1 species
UACGGAGGGUGCAAGCGUUAUCCGGAUUCACUGGGUUUAAAGGGUGCGUAGGUGGGCUGGUAAGUCAGUGGUGAAAUCUCCAGGCUUAACUUGGAAACUGCCAUUGAUACUAUCAGUCUUGAAUACCGUGGAGGUCAGCGGAAUAUGUCAUGUAGCGGUGAAAUGCUUAGAUAUGACAUAGAACACCAAUUGCGAAGGCAGCUUACUACCCGAAUAUUGACACUGAGGCACGAAAGCGUGGGGAUCAAACAGG